rnacentral:ncRNA from 1 species
CUAACUUUGCGGUGCUUUGGUUCACUAUAUCUCCUUAUCGGAGAAGUGAUUAAAAGGGAAUCAGGUGAAAAUCCUGAACAGUCCCGCUGCUGUAAGUUUCUACAAAACGUUGUAAGCAAGCACUCAAUACCACUGAACAAUGAAGUUCGGGAAGGCGCUUACCAACGGAAACAAAGUCAGAAGACCUGCCAGACAUUUUUAAGUAUA